GGGGGGGGGGGGGGGGGGGGAAUAAAAAUUUGGACCUAAAAAGGCAAGUUUUUUUUAUUCUUUCACAACCUUAUUACCCAAUUUUUUUUGCCUAAAAAUGAUUUAUUUGUCCCAAUUUAGCAAAUAAAACUAUAAAAAUGUUAGCACUAAAUGCUCACGCCCCUACAUUUUUUUGGGAAAAAACUGAUUUCAAAAGAUCUGCCAGGGAGAAAAAAUUUAUUUCAAAAAAUAAACACACCUUUUAAAAAAAUUAUUAUUUAGAAGGUUUUGAUCUAAAAGUAAACAAUGUCUAUAUAAAGAAGGUAAAAGUUUAAAAAGAACUUAUUGUCUACAGAUUUAGUUUUAAAUCUUCACAUAUAUAAAAUUAGGGUUUUUAAAUUGGAAUUCAGUUUGUGGAAUUGGGUGCAACUCUGCAUAAUUGUCUGAAACUGUUGUUGAAUUGCUUAGAAUUACAGGGAUUUUAAUUGCAUGUAACAUCCACUUUCAUUGGAAACUCUAAUAAAAAUAUGUUUUAGGAUGAUUCUGAUCUUGAUUUUAGUCCAUUAUACAAGGGUCCAACUUAAACAACUUCAGGCUUUCCAUUUUUUAUGCAUUUUUUUAAUCCAAAUAUAUUUUCAAAUGAUAAAACUUUACUAUUUUAAAUGUUUUUCCAAGAAAUAUGCUGGAUUAAGAAACGACCCAGAUGACAGAACAAGUUUUAAUUAUGAUAUCAAUUUCCUUCUGACUGGAGCCACAAGGUCAGGAAGAAUGAGCGGCAUAGCAAAUACAAAUACCGUUUGCAAUCUCUGAACCAGGCUGAAGAUGACGUUCUUGUUUUAUUUUCCUCCUGUAUUACACUUGCUACUUCCCUGUAAUAUAUACAACAUGGGCAGCUGAACUCCGUGCUCCCCCAGACUGUGAAGGCGGGACUGCUAUGAGAGAGCUCAAACUAUUCCGGGAUGGUGUUGGUCUGAUGACUCUACGUGUGAAUGAUGGGGGUAAGUAUGACCGUGAAGUAGCCCCUAUUUUACUGGCUCAUGAGAUGGGACAUAUGAUGGGAGCAGGCUACCCAUGAUGGAGAGAAAGGAGUGGCUGAAGAUUGCCGAGGAAAUUAUAUCAUGACACACACUGUUGAAAAGGGCCAUAAUAUAUGGAGUUAUUGCUCCAGGAAUCAGAUAGAUAAACAUUUGGCUAAACUGGAGAAGGACAGGCAUACCAAUGGAAAUUGUUUUUAUGUUUAAGCAUAGAGGGGCCCGGUCUAAAGAAGAUGCUAUUGGUUUUGAAAUUAUAAAAAUAAUUUUAUUAAAAAUUUAAGAGAAAUAUAUGGUGUGGUAACA